rnacentral:rRNA from 1 species
GAUGAACGCUGGCGGCGUGCCUAAUACAUGCAAGUCGAGCGAACAGACGAGGAGCUUGCUCCUCUGACGUUAGCGGCGGACGGGUGAGUAACACGUGGAUAACCUACCUAUAAGACUGGGAUAACUUCGGGAAACCGGAGCUAAUACCGGAUAAUAUAUUUAACCGCAUGGUUCAAUAGUGAAAGACGGUUUUGCUGUCACUUAUAGAUGGAUCCGCGCCGCAUUAGCUAGUUGGUAAGGUAACGGCUUACCAAGGCAUCGAUGCGUAGCCGACCUGAGAGGGUGAUCGGCCACACUGGAACUGAGACACGGUCCAGACUCCUACGGGAGGCAGCAGUAGGGAAUCUUCCGCAAUGGGCGAAAGCUUGACGGAGCAACGCCGCGUGAGUGAUGAAGGUCUUCGGAUCGUAAAACUCUGUUAUUAGGGAAGAACAAAUGUGUAAGUAACUAUGCACGUCUUGACGGUACCUAAUCAGAAAGCCACGGCUAACUACGUG